UCUCUCACUUCAGUAGCACAUAUCGUAAAAAUCAGCACGAUACAGAGCAGAUUAGCAUGGCUCCUGCCCAAGGGUACAUUCUUAUCACCUUUGCAAUUAUCCGGACUUCU
ensembl:snRNA U6 U6 spliceosomal RNA